ACAUUAAGCCCAAGCUUUCUCUUUUGAAUUGGGAUCUGGUGGCUGUUAUGACCAAUCUAAAGUAGAAAUAUAGUAUUCUUGUUUUCAAUGUUCCAAAUCAUUUUCUUCUCGCAGUAUACACUUAUGGUUAGUUUUUUAUCAUUGUGCUGGCGUUCAGGUUUCCAUGAAGCACCUCAAAACAAAAAAAUGGAAGCACCAUUAAACAUGCACCUUUUGGAGGUGCUUAACACGCCUUUUUACACGCCUAUUAUUGGUCAAACACGGCUCAAGGUAUAGAACAAUGUAAAAGUUAAUAUAAUCCGUAAAUAUUAUAUUGUUCCAAUCACGAUUGAUGUAUUCCUGCGUCCUGUUUUUGAAAGAAGUGGUUUGAUUCCAGUACAGUUGCACUUGAUGACAGAUCUCUGAAAUGCCACAUCAUUCUUCCCUCAUUCUGGCUUGUUAUCUCCAUAAAGAUCAGACCAUCUCUUCAGAAAUGUGCACCUCGUAUUUAAAAAACCGCGGUAUUUUUAAUAGCCGUUUUGGAACCUUUAGGAUGUUUCGGCACGACGUGACACAAGAAGAUCGAACAAACCUAACCGAAUUGAGUAAAAUUUCUUAAUUUGCAUAAAAUAAAAACACUUUUUUGAACGAAAAGAAUGUAAAACCAAAAGGCAAAACCAUAUUAUUAAAAAUGGGAAUGAACAUUUUAAGAAAAAAAUUAAAUUUUAAGUGUGCUUAAAUCGGCUAUUAAUAGCGGCCACUUCUAUUUACAACAGGAUAACGACUCAAAACACCCAUCUUAUCUUGUACGUGCGUUAAAAAUAACUUCAUAGGUCCCGCAAUCAAGAUACAUUAGUCCUAUUCAAAAUAUCUGGAACUUUUUGGAAAAUCGUAUUCUAAAACAACGACAUCGAAAAUAAAAUAAGGCCAAAAUGUUAGAUCAUGGACUUAAAUGGGUCAAAAAAUCCGGAAAUAAUACUACAAAUUGACUACGGAGCAUUCAUCGAUGUCUAGGGAGAAUAAUUGCAAGAAAAUGUAGACCAAAAACCGCUAAAGCUAUUGUAAUUACUUUUGAUUUAUAUAAAUAAUCAUUAGUGUACUUAAACUCUUGAUAUAAAAUAUCCCCAUUUCAA